GGGGUGGGAGCGUCUGGUGAUGCUUACUGACCGGGCUGGUAAACCCGGAGGUUGACGACGCCGGUGGAAUCCGGCACCGCCCCC
rnacentral:tRNA from 1 species